rnacentral:rRNA from 1 species
GACGAACGCUGGCGGCGUGCUUAACACAUGCAAGUCGAACGCUGAAGCUCAGCUUUUGUUGGGUGGAUGAGUGGCGAACGGGUGAGUAACACGUGAGUAACCUGCCCCCUUCUUUGGGAUAACGCCCGGAAACGGGUGCUAAUACUGGAUAUUCACUGGUCUUCGCAUGGGGGUUGGUGGAAAGGGUUUUUCUGGUGGGGGAUGGACUCGCGGCCUAUCAGCUUGUUGGUGGGGUGAUGGCCUACCAAGGCUUUGACGGGUAGCCGGCCUGAGAGGGUGACCGGUCACAUUGGGACUGAGAUACGGCCCAGACUCCUACGGGAGGCAGCAGUGGGGAAUAUUGCACAAUGGGCGCAAGCCUGAUGCAGCGAUGCCGCGUGAGGGAUGGAGGCCUUCGGGUUGUGAACCUCUUUCGCUCAUGGUCAAGCCGCAACAAUGGUUGUGGUGAGGGUAGUGGGUAAAGAAGCGCCGGCUAACUACGUG